CGGAGGGAUCAUUACACAACAAAAUAUGAAGGCCUGGCUUUCGCGGCCGGCUGAAGUAUUUUUUUCACCCAUGUCUUUUGCGCACUUGUUGUUUCCUGGGCGGGUUCGCCCGCCACCAGGACCAAACCAUAAACCUUUUUUUCUUAUGCAGUUUCCAUCAGCGUCAGUAAAAACAAUGUAAUUAUUACAACUUUCAACAACGGAUCUCUUGGUUCUGGCAUCGAUGAAGAACGCAGCGAAAUGCGAUACGUAGUGUGAAUUGCAGAAUUCAGUGAAUCAUCGAAUCUUUGAACGCACAUUGCGCCCUUUGGUAUUCCAAAGGGCAUGCCUGUUCGAGCGUCAUUUGUACCUUCAAGCUUUGCUUGGUGUUGGGCGUUUUUUUGUCUCCCUCUUUCUGGGAGACUCGCCUUAAAACGAUUGGCAGCCGGCCUACUGGUUUCGGAGCGCAGCACAUUUUUUGCGCUUUGUAUCAGGAGAAAAGGACGGUACUCCAUCAAGACUCUACAUUUUUCACUUUUGACCUCGGAUCAGGUAGGGAUACCCGCUGAA
rnacentral:rRNA from 1 species